rnacentral:rRNA from 1 species
AUUGAACGCUGGCGGCAUGCUUUACACAUGCAAGUCGAACGGUAACAGGCCUUCGGGUACUGACGAGUGGCGAACGGGUGAGUAAUGCAUCGGAACGUGCCCAGAGGUGGGGGAUAACGCAGCGAAAGCUGUGCUAAUACCGCAUGUGAUCUGAGGAUGAAAGCGGGGGACCAGGCAGCAAUGUUUGGCCUCGCGCCUUUGGAGCGGCCGAUGUCAGAUUAGGUAGUUGGUGGGGUAAAGGCCUACCAAGCCGACGAUCUGUAGCUGGUCUGAGAGGACGACCAGCCACACUGGGACUGAGACACGGCCCAGACUCCUACGGGAGGCAGCAGUGGGGAAUUUUGGACAAUGGGCGCAAGCCUGAUCCAGCAAUGCCGCGUGCGGGAAGAAGGCCUUCGGGUUGUAAACCGCUUUUGUACGGAACGAAAAGGCUCUGGCUAAUACCUGGGGCUGAUGACGGUACCGUAAGAAUAAGCACCGGCUAACUACGUG